GGGGGGGGGGGGGGGGGGGGGGGGGGCGGGGGGGGAGGGCGGGGGAGGGGGAGGUUGCUUCUCGGGGUGAGUUGCGAGCGGGUGAGUAACGCGUAGGUAACCUGCCUGGUAGCGGGGGAUAACUAUUGGAAACGAUAGCUAAUACCGCAUAAUAGUAGAUGUUGCAUGACAUUUGCUUCAACGGUGCAAUUGCAUCACUACCAGAUGGACCUGCGUUGUAUUAGCUAGUUGGUGAGGUAACGGCUCACCAAGGCAACGAUACAUAGCCGACCUGAGAGGGGGAUCGGCCACACUGGGACUGAGACACGGCCCAGACUCCUACGGGAGGCAGCAGUAGGGAAUCUUCGGCAAUGGACGGAAGUCUGACCGAGCAACGCCGCGUGAGUGAAGAAGGUUUUCGGAUCGUAAAGCUCUGUUGUAAGAGAAGAACGAGUGUGAGAGUGGAAAGUUCACACUGUGACGGUAUCUUACCAGAAAGGGACGGCUAACUACGUG
rnacentral:rRNA from 1 species